rnacentral:rRNA from 1 species
CAAUAGCAUAUAUUAACGUUGUUGCAGUUGAAAAGCUCGUAGUUGAACUUUUGGUAGGAGCGACCUGGCCUUGGGCGCAUGCCCUUGUUUGCCGUGUGUCGUAUCUGGCCAUCCUUUUCCGCUUCGGCGGGAAUCCUUUACUGUGAGUAAACUGGAGUGCUCAAAACAAGACGUUUGUUUGGUACAUUAAAGCAUGGAAUAAUAAGAUAGGACCUGGUUACUAUUUUGUUGGUUUGCAUAGCUAGGUAAUGAUUAACAGGGACAGUUGGGGGUAUUCGUAUUUAAUUGUCAGAGGUGAAAUUCUUGGAUUUAUGAAAGACGAAUGACUGCGAAAGCAUUUACCAAGGAUGUUUUCAUUAA